rnacentral:rRNA from 1 species
GACGAACGCUGGCGGCGUGCUUAACACAUGCAAGUCGAACGAGUGGCGAACGGGUGAGUAAUACGUGGGAACCUGCCCUUCAGCGGGGGAUAACCAUCGGAAACGAUGACUAAUACCGCAUACUGAAGGAUGGUCCCGCGGUGCAUUAGCUAGACGGUGGGGUAACGGCCUACCGUGGCUUUGAUGCAUAGCCGACCUGAGAGGGUGAUCGGCCACAUUGGGACUGAGACACGGCCCAGACUCCUACGGGAGGCAGCAGUGGGGAAUAUUGCACAAUGGGCGCAAGCCUGAUGCAGCCAUGCCGCGUGUAUGAAGAAGGCCUUAGGGUUGUAAAGUACUUUCAGCGGGGAGGCGUUACCCGCAGAAGAAGCACCGGCUAACUCCGUGCCAGCAGCCGCGGUAAUAC